CCACGUUAGCACCAAGUACAGUGUAUCAGGUCUAGGCACACUCAAACAUUUCAACAAACCACAGGAAUCACCCACUGGUUUCAAAAGUAACCUACAAAACGAUGAAUGCCCAACUUACCCAGCCUGGCAAGAACAACAGGCAUCAGUGAUCUUGUCCACAGCUAUAUUGAUGUAGAGGGUGUGUGGAUCUGCCGUUUUCCUCAUGGAGCAAAAGCAUUUUGCUGUGACUCUCAAUGUUGGAGGCGUCGCGAGGCUCAAACACCUUGAUCUCAUCCAACAAGGAUGACAUGAACUUGUUAGUUCAUCUGUAUUGUAGCAGCUGAUAUAUUGUGAAGAUCCUGUAGAAAUGAUGCACUAAUGGAGUCAGAAAUACACUGGAGAGAAUCAGUCCGAGUGGAAGACGCCAUGUUUACAUAGAAACAACGCGCCGCCAGGCUUAGUUUGGGAGACUUGAGGCCACGUGGGAUUUUCUAGGUCGGUUGUGGGCGGAGCUUGGUAAGGUCCAUAUGACUUCAGGGAUCCAAGCUUUGAUGUAUGUAGGAUUAUAAAACAUGGAGCCCCAGUAGAUUAUAUAGUAGAUUAUAUAGCAGGCUGCCCCAGUCAUUAUUGACUCAUGGCUGCUAAAAACUUUACCAGACCGACUGAUUUUAGUGACAUUGUGUAAAAUAUUGAAUAAAAUGUUGGGCUACAUGACUGGCUUUAUUUACAUUUAACUUUAUGACACACAAAAUUACAAGUGGAUAAUCCAUAUUGUCUCCAAGUGUAUUCUGGGUAAAGCUUGUCACCAGCCCUCCGUCAUCAUCAGUCACUUGGCAACAGAUGGCAAACUAGCUAGAGCAUUUCUACAGACCAAGUUAACAUGAGUGGAGCUCAUGGAGCGGCAAAGUGAAAAGGAUGAAAACAGAGAACAAGGAAAAGCCAAAAACUGGACGCAUAUUUUGUUCCUGGUCUUGGAGAUGAACCGGAGUUUUUUGUUGGCAGCGAUUCAGACCCGCCAAAACUGGCAGCCCAGCGAAGGAGCCGGACUGGUUACAGGUAGCAGCUCUGACAUUAUUCACAGAGUGAGUUAACUGUAGACUGACUGUAAACUGGAUCAGCCCAGCCGCCUAGUUUACAUCCCCUUUUCUCUCUGUCGGUGGUCCAGCAGUGACGUCAGGGACUGAAGGCUGAGUUCUGGUCGGGUUGAGCGGUUUUGAGCCAAGACGGCAGCAUGGCGUCUAUAGUUCAGGUUUCCAUUGGAGAAUCUUCCAGCUCGUCCAGUUUGUGUGAACGGCGGCGCGCGCGCGAUGCGCGCCGAGUUACAAACAUCCAGAGGAGCGCGAGCUGCUGCGACACGCUGCGCAUGCGCAGCCUGUCGCUUGCCGCUGCGUUCCCGCUUCAACGCGCUGCUGCGUGCUCUGUUGAGAAGGACCUCGCUGCAGCAAACAGAAAGGGGCGGGGACGGACCUUUCCGUCAGUCCCAUACCUUAUUUGGAAAUGGGACUAUUGCAUUCCGGAAAUGAAGGGGGCGCUAUUUUCAUAAUCACUAGUAUAAAUACCUUAAGACGCGGAGUUAAGAGGAACGGAAGAAGAAAGAAAGAAGUUUGAGGUUCUUCCACUGGUGUUCGGCACACGAUCAACAAUGCAAAACUCACAAAGUCAACAAAAGAUGCCUCUGAAUGUUCUUGAAGCUGUUCUCCAGGAGGUGGCGCUAGCACAGGGAGACUCAGCUUACCUCACCUUGGCAUUGACCUGCAAGUGCUUUGAAGCCGUUGAGUCUGACCCAGUUUUCAGGAAGAAGACUCACUUUGCUUGGCUGGAUGGUGAGAUCAACUGGGGCAAAUUUUCAAAAAACAUUCAAGGCAGAAAACCGGAUUCCUUUUGCGGUUGUAACGUGUUUUUCCUGCAACCGGUGAUAUAAAGACUGUGGGCUUCACCGGCAAUGGAAGACGAGGAGAGUACCCUGGUAACUACUGUGAUGGCCGACCUGGACACUGCACUGGCUGUCAAUACUGAAUGCAAGGAGAAUAUUAGUUGCUUUCCUCAGUCUUUCACACAUUUCAGUUAACACACAUUGUUAGUUUAUUUUUGUGACAUGCCAUUUUAAAUCAUUUCUGCUAAAGAAUAUUUGCCUUUUGACUUGUGCAGUCAUCCUUUUUAAUAAUGUGUUCGUUCAAUAUUAUUUACAUUUUUGAAUGUUCCUUUUGUUGUAGCUCAGUUGAUUUACAUUAUUUAGUUUUCAUAGAAAUGGUGCCGUUUCCACACAAAGUUACAUUGUGGCUGUAAUUUGUUGGAGAGAGUAGAACCAAUAAUGUAGUUGUAAAUAUAUUGUAACAGUAUUGUUUAACAAUAGGAUAACCUUGUUUUAAAAAGGUUAAAUGCAAGCAAAGCUAAUAACUUGCAAUAUUUUAUAUGUGUAAAUACAAUGUUUCCGAUACUUUUUGAACAAUGACUGGAAUCAAAGUUUCUUUACAAACCUGACAUACAGCUAAGUUUAUGUUUUAACAGAAUCAACUGUUGGGUUUUUUGUAAUAAAGUAGCACAUACAGAAACAUAUUGUUCAGAUACAAAGUCAUAAUACAAACAUAAGAUUAAAGGUAUCCUGACUUUAUGAAGAGAGAUGAGCCCGGCGCCGUUAGGCUGGGAUGGAGACACCUGAUCAGGUGAUUGGCUGAGCAGGUGAGAUCAAGACAGUUAUAGUUAGAAUUUACACACUGGUUUAAUUUAUGUAACCAGUGACUUUAUUCAAAAAGGUUUUCAUAUAGAAAAAAGAUCAUUCUCUCUGGCAGUUACCAGCGCAGUGUCUACUGCCGGGGUCCGAGCCCCAAAGAUUAUUUCUUGUCAAAUAAACUUUCUAAAACUUU